GAUGAACGCUGGCGGCGUGCCUAAUACAUGCAAGUCGAGCGAACAGACGAGGAGCUUGCUCCUCUGACGUUAGCGGCGGACGGGUGAGUAACACGUGGAUAACCUACCUAUAAGACUGGGAUAACUUCGGGAAACCGGAGCUAAUACCGGAUAAUAUAUUGAACCGCAUGGUUCAAUAGUGAAAGACGGUUUUGCUGUCACUUAUAGAUGGAUCCGCGCCGCAUUAGCUAGUUGGUAAGGUAACGGCUUACCAAGGCAACGAUGCGUAGACGACCUGAGAGGGUGAUAGGCGACACGGGAGCUGAGACAGGGUCCAGAGUCCUACGGGAGGCAGCAGUAGGGAAUCUUCCGCAAUGGGCGAAAGCUUGACGGAGCAACGCCGCGUGAGUGAUGAAGGUGUUCGGAUCGUAAAACUCUGUUAUUAGGGAAGAACAAAUGUGUAAGUAACUAUGCACGUAUUGACGGUACCUAAUCAGAAAGCCACGGCUAACUACGUG
rnacentral:rRNA from 1 species